GAGUUGAAUAAAUAUGGCUGUCCAACACUCUUUUGAAGUAGCUAAUGGUUCCUAGGACCAUCCACUAGUUCUUUUAAAUUUACUUUCAAUUUAGUCUUGAAUUCAGUGCCUUUUGUGGGCUACACAAUCAGGAACCUUGUGGAGUUGUGUAGCUCAUAUCAUUACUACUGUUAUUGGCGCUAGAGUUUUGUCUCCGGCUUGGAGUACUUCACAGUUAGGAUGGAUAGCAGAGCCAGUUACCUUGCUUUGUUUUGCAAUCAUCACCUAUGUUUCUAUAUACCUCAUUUUCAAUUGUUACAGGUAUCCUAACUCCAUAACCAAGACACGAAACUAGUGUUACAUGGAUGCUGUUAGAGUGAAUCUUGGUCUUGAUGUUGUUUGCAGAAGCUUUGUUGAAGAAGCGGUAAAGAGUGUGGUUUUUGUUCCAAUUCGGUAUGAAACUUAGCUCAUGUUUGUUUAAAAUUGACUUAUGAAGAUUUACUGUCUACAUCAUCAAUGUUAGUUAUGAUUAAUACAAUGCUUUAAAUGGUGUAGAUAAAAUUACGGUUGAUAAAUCUUGGAUGCAUCUUUCUACUAGAUCGUGCACUGAGUAUAUUAAUGGAGUUGAAAACUUUCUUGAGUAUGCAUUUAAACAUUCAAUAGAUGGAGAUAUGAAAAUCAAUUGUCCGUGUAUUGACUGUAGCAACAGGUAUCAUAGGACUCGGGAUAAGUUCCAGUAUCAUCUUUUAUUUAGGGUAUAAGGAGAGAUUAUACUACUUGGUACCCUCAUGGGGAAGGUGAUAGUGAAGAGGAAGGUGAUAGUGAAGUGGAAGGUGAUGAUGAUGAUGGUAUGCUAUAUGAUGAUAUGUUUGAUAUGAUCAAGGAUGCUUAUCCACAAGUGGUGUGUGGCAGGGAAUCAAGUGGAAAUGAACCACAAGAGCCAAAUGGAGAUGCAAAGAAAUUUUAUAGAUUGUUGGAAAAGGUUAAACAGUCUCUGUAUCCAGAUUGUGAAAAGCAUUCAAGCUUGUCCUUUAUAAUUAAGUUAUUGCACAUAAAGUGCAUAUCAUCAUGGAGCAACAAGUCCUUUAGUAUGUUGAUGGAGCUGUUAAAGGAUGCAUUUCCUAUGUGUGAGAGACUACCUAGCUCAAACUAUGAGGCAAAAAAGAUUGUCAACGAUCUAGGCCUCCAUUAUGAGAAGAUAGAUGCAUGCAAAGAUGAUUGUGCACUUUAUUAUAAGAAGUAUUUAGAAGUGACUCAAUGUCCAGUUUGUAAACUUUCAAGAUGGCAGCCAAAUAAGGGUGGUAAAGGGAAAAAUAAAAAGGUACCAUGGAAGGUUUUGCGGUAUUUUCCACUUAAAUCAAGGCAACAAUGAUUGUUUAUGUCAACAAAGACUGCUACGGAUAUGAAAUGGCACCAUGAAAAACGUGUUAAUGAUGGAGUGUUACAACAUCCAACAGACUGUGAAGCUUGGAAAAAAUAUGACUAAAUUCAUGAGUCAUUCGCAAUGAAUCCCUGUAAUGUUAGGUUGGACUAGCUACAGAUGGGUUUAACCCAUUUGGAAAUAUGAAUAUUAAAUACAGUGUCCGGCCUAUUAUCUUAUUUCCAUAUAAUCUUCCCCCUUGGAUGUGCAUGAAAGAGCCUUAAUCAUUGAUGUCAUUACUUAUACAGGCCCAAAGGGUCCUGGGAAUCACAUUGAUGUAUUCUUGAGGCCGUUGAUUGAUGAACUAAAAGAAUUGUGGGAAGAUGGGGUGCGUACAUAUGAUGCUUCAACGAAGGAGAACUUUCAGAUGAGAGCAGCAGUGUUGUGGACUAUCCAUGACUUUCGCGCAUAUGCUGUUAUUUCCGAUUGGAGUACAAAGAGAAAUUUGGUGUGUUCUUGUUGUCAUAGUGAGACUACUCAUUGUAGGUUAUGAAAUGGAUAUAAGAUAUGCUAUAUGGGAUAUCGUCUUUUUUUGGUCUGAGACCACAAAUGGCAUAAUAAUAAGUCACAAUUUAAUGGUAAAAAAGAAAGGAAUAUAGCACCCAAACGAUUAUCUAGUGAUGAUGUGUUAAAACAAAUUCUUCCAUUAAAGCCAAUUAUAUUUGGAAAAAGCCAGAAAAAGCAAUUUCUAGAAGGGCAUGGGCAGUUUCAUAAUUGGAAGAAGCAUAGCAUUUUUUUUUUUUUUGAAUUGCCAUAUUGGAGAACACUUUUGUUAUGUCACAAUUUGGAUGUGAUGCAUGUUGAAAAAAAUAUAUUUGACAGUGUGAUUGGGACAAUUAUGAAUAUUAAAGAUAAAAUGAAGGAUUCUUUAAGCACUCGUCUUGAUCUAAAAGAAAUGGGCAUACGGCAUACGCUCCAACCCAUAGAGGUUAAUGGGAAGAUAGAGCUACCCCUAGCUUGCUACACACUGUCAAAUGAUGAGAAAAGGGCCAUAUGCUUAUGGGUAAAAAAUCUUAAAUUUUCGGAUGGCUACUCUACAAAUUUAUCUCGAUGUGUGAAUAUUGAGGAGAGAAAAAUUUCUGGUAUGAAGACUCAUGAUUGUCAUGUUUUCCUAGAAAGAUUACUCCCACUUGUAGUGCGUGACUUUUUACCUAAAAAAGUAUUUGAUGCUUUGACUGAGUUAAGUAACUUUUUCAAAGAAUUGUAUUCCAAAGUGUUACGAGUGGAUGAUUUGGAUCGUCUUGAAACCCAAAUUGCAGUAACCCUCUGUAAAUUAGAACAGAUUUUUCCACCUUCUUUCUUUGGUGUAAUGGUUCACUUGGCCAUUCACCUAUCUGGGGAAGCUAAAGUUGCAGGUCUAAUGCAAUACAGAUGGAUGUAUCCAGUUGAGAGGUAAAGUUUACAAAAUUUCAUUAUAGUCUAAAUUACAAUUGCAUACUAGUAUUUUAUUUUUGAUAAAAUUUUAUAUUAUGCCUUCAAAUAUAGGUAUUUGCACAAGCUUAAGAGUUAUGUUCGUAAUAAGGCACACGCAGAAGGGUCUAUUGUAGAAAAGUAUUUAGCAGAUGAAUGUCUAACAUUUUGUUCUCACUAUUUACAUGGAAGAGAAACCAAAUUUACUCGGGUAGAGCGAAAUUAUGAUGGAGGUACUUCCACAUGUGCAAAUACCUCUCAAUUGUCCAUAUUCUCAACACCUGUAUGACAUUUAGGGAAAGCAAUAAGAGAACAUAAGAACAUCCUUACAAAUGCAGGUGUUCUCGACAUUGAUAGGGUGCAUAGACAAGAAUUUAUUGCAUGGUUUGAAAAAAGAGUAAGAUAGUAAUUUAUUUUUGAAAAUGUAUGUUUGUUUAUAUUUUAACUACUACAACUUGAGUUUAACCUUAUUUAGGUUUUAUUGUAGAUCACCAACUUAUAUAAUACAAGACAAGUUGAUGGGCAUAUGCUCUCAUUAGCUUGGGGCCCUAAGAAAGGGCUAUUUUUUUAUUGAGGUUACAAUGUUAAUGGGUUCAGAUUUCAUACAAAUCAAUGUGAUUAAAGUAAAAGAAGACAAAAUAAUGGAGUUAUGGUGAGAGGGGAGGAUCAAAGUUGCAAUGUGCCUUAUUAUGGACAACUAACAGACAUUGUUGAACUUUAAUAUACUGAAGGGAACAAAGUUGUGUUGUUUAAAUGUGAUUGAUAUGAUGUAUCUCGUGAAAAAAUUGGUUAUAAGAGAGAUUGGCAUGGAAUCACUAUUGUUAAUACAUCACGAAAGUUGAAAACUGUAGAGCCAUUUGUAUUAGCAUGUCAAGCAACUCAAGUUUAAUAUGUUAAUGGAAUAAAAGAUCCCACAUGGAAUGUUGUGAUUGAAACCAAGCCACGAAACCUUUAUGAAAUGCCAUCAGAUGAAGAAGAGCCAUACCAAGAAGAAGAAAAUUUACAUUGUAAUGCAAAUGUGCUGCAAGAAGAAAAUGAGGAUGAUGAUAUAGAUUAGAGUAGGAGUGGUGUUGAGAAUAUGAUAAUCAAGUGACUUCCAAGGCUUAAAAGGACUAUUUAAUGUAAUUCUUCUUUGUUUCUAAGAAAGCAUUUCUAUCCUUUUUAGCUCAAAAAGAAAAAAGAAAAAAAGAGAGAGACUUGACUUAUUUGAUAAUGUUUAUAUUGUGAUUGGCUUAUAUUUCAAUUGGACAAGGUCGCUUUCCUUGAUGGGAAGAAAAUUUUAUUCACUUUUGAGAAAGAGAGAGAGAGUACAAAAGGCUGUUAUUUUUGAAUUUCAGGCUACCAUUUUGAAGUUGAAAUUGCUAUAAUUUUUUUAUGGGUAAAAUCUAUUAGAAAAUAAGGACAGACCUUUCAUAUAUAGGAUGUAUAUAAAAGACAUAUUUUUUUUGGCUGUAAACAAAAGGUUCAUCUAAAGACUACAAAGUGCUAUAUGUUUAUGUAUUUCUUUUUAUUUUUCUUUGAUUUUAGAAUAACUAAUAAUUUCAUGAUUAUUUGCAAAGGCCAAUUGUGGCCCUCACAAAUAAUUUAGUAUUAGUGAGGGUAUAUUUUUAACUCACACAAAAAAUUAACUUUUUGCAAGGAAUUUUUAUUGUCCCUUGGAAAUAAUUUGGUGGGAACAUUUCCCUCCAAAAAAUUUUACAUUUUAAUGAUUAUUUGUGAAGGUCGAUCCUAGCCCUCGCAAAUAAUUUAGUAUUAGUGACGGCAUUUUUUAACUGUCACAAAUAAUACACUUUUUGUGAGAGAUUUUUAAUUGUCCCUCGCAAAUAAUACGGAGGGAAAAUUUCCCUCCAAAAUAUUAGUAUUUGUGACGGCUAUAAUACAUAAUUGCGAUAGCUUUUUUUGUUAGUCACAAAUAUUUCACAUUUUACUAAGUAUUUGCGAGGGCUUUAUUUUGACAUCACAAAUAAGAUUUUUUGAGAGGGCUUUUUGGGUUGAUCAAAAAUUCUUGGUCGCUAAUAGGCAUUUUUCUUGUAGAUAUCCUCUUAACUGUGCUAAUGUACCUAUUUACACAAUAAUCUAACACUUGGAAGACAUGUUCUAAAAAGCUACAACUUAACCAACCAACCAAGUUGUCAGUAAUCAUGCAAUCCUAUCCUUAUCAACAUUUUCAUAUGAGUAACAAGAAAAUUAAUCACGCAAGAUUGAAAACCCUCUAAAUGAUAUAGAGGGAACAAUUUACUAUAAUAAAAUAGAGAAUGCAAUGCUCUUUAUGUCCAAAACUUAAGUUCACAAUAAAUUUGAAAAAUACAAUAAUACCU